AACCAGAAAGUCACGGCUAACUACGUGCCAGCAGCCGCGGUAAUACGUAGGUGGCAAGCGUUAUCCGGAUUUAUUGGGCGUAAAGAGAGUGCAGGCGGUUUUCUAAGUCUGAUGUGAAAGCCUUCGGCUUAACCGGAGAAGUGCAUCGGAAACUGGAUAACUUGAGUGCAGAAGAGGGUAGUGGAACUCCAUGCGUAGCGGUGGAAUGCGUAGAUAUAUGGAAGAACACCAGUGGCGAAGGCGGCUACCUGGUCUGCAACUGACGCUGAGACUCGAAAGCAUGGGUAGCGAACAGGAUUAGAUACCCUGGUAG
rnacentral:rRNA from 1 species